rnacentral:misc_RNA from 1 species
UUUCCGUAGGUGAACCUGCGGAAGGAUCAUUACUGAGUUAGCUCCUUUGGAGCGAUCUCCCACCCUUUGUUUAAUGAAUCUGUUGCUUUGGCGAGUCCGCCGCAAGGCUGUCGACGCAAGUGGACAAGCACUCGCCAAAGAUCUAAACUCUGAUUAAUUUAUCGUCUGAGAAAUUAUUAAAAAACUAAAAACUUUCAACAACGGAUCUCUUGGUUCUGGCAUCGAUGAAGAACGCAGC